rnacentral:rRNA from 1 species
GCCUGCGUCCGAUUAUUUAUUCCUAGUUGGUGAGGUAAUGGCUCACCAAGGAUACGAUCGGUAGCUGGUCUGAGAGGAUGAUCAGCCACACUGGAACUGAGACACGGUCCAGACUCCUACGGGAGGCAGCAGUGGGGAAUAUUGCGCAAUGGGCGAAAGCCUGACGCAGCCACGCCGCGUGAGUGAUGAAGGCCUUCGGGUUGUAAAGCUCUGUCGGGAGGGAAGAAGGGGAAACCCUGACGGUACCUCGCAAGAAAGCACCGGCUAACUCUGUGCCAGCAGCCGCGGUAAUACAGAGGGUGCAAGCGUUGCUCGGAUUUACUGGGCGUAAAGCGUACGCAGACGGUUUGGUAGGUCGGGUGUGAAAGCCCAGGGCUCAACCCUGGAAAUGCACUCGAAACCACCUCACUUGAGUAUAGGAGAGGAAAGCGGAAUUCCUGGUGUAGAGGUGAAAUUCGUAGAUAUCAGGAGGAACACCGGUGGCGAAGGCGGCUUUCUGGCCUAUUACUGACGUUC